UGGAGCACGAGUGUUACUGCAGUUAUACAUGGUGGCUGGAUGUCCCUCUAUAUCAGAGACUGUUAACUCUCUUUCCUGAUGUCAUGGUGUUGUGAUGAUGCAAAAGGUGUAAGCGGCUCAACUUUAAAUCAUAACCAUUGAUGUACAAACAGACAGUGGAAGCCUUACUCUCAACUCUUCACAAGUGCAGUGCAGUUCAUUUUUCCCCUCAAUCAUCACAACACUGACGUAUAUACUAGCAUUGGUGAAUGUGCUAUUUGGCUGGUUAUUAAUCUCCUUGUGGAGGAAAUGCAAGUGCCCUGUGAAGAAACCUUUUACAGUAGCUUUCUCAACUGAAGGCAGAGCCUCUAAAAUCGGCUCCCUCUCUGACUACACAAGACUGUGGUGAUCUGAAUGAUCCACGGAGGAGAACUCUAUCAUGAGGAAGAAACGUCAAUGAUCAUUAACUCUAUCUGCUGCCAUUGACUAUAAGUUGGACUUACUAUUCCUCACGAAUACUAAACUAUUAAUUUUUAUCUUUACACUAUAUUAAUUUUUAUCUUUACACUAUAAUAUUAUACUUGUAAUAAUUUA